GGACAUCAAUCAUAAUGGGUCAUGCUAUCAGUGGAGAAGGAGAGGAAGCUCUCCUUGCAUUUAGGCAGAUGCUUGCAGAGGAAGUUGAGCCAAAUUCUGUCACAUUCAUUGGUGUUCUAUUAGCAUGUGAUCAUUCUGGUCUAGUUGAAGUAGGUCAAAAAUUGUAUAAUACUAUGUGCAAGGUUUACAAUAUUGAGCCACAGAUUGAGCACUGUGGCUGCAUGGUUGACAUGCUCGCACGAGCAGGAAUGCUAGAGGAGGCCAAUAAGUUUGUGAAAAAAAUGCCUGUAGAACCAAAUGCAGUUAUUUGGAGGAUGAUGAUUAAUGCUUGCAGGGUACAUGGUAAUGUUGAUCUGGGUUUAAGUUUGGUUAGUAGACUAAUAGAGGCUAAGGCUUUAACAAGUACUCAAGAUCAUGUUAUUUCUUCUAACCUUUUCGCUGAAGCAGGGAGGUGGGAUGAUGUUCUCCAUGAAAGAAACACAAUGACAGCUUGGAAAGGUUCAAAAGUUGCUGGAAAAAGCUCAGUUUCAGAUUUAAGAGAUUGAGGUCUCAAGGUGGUGGUGUUGAAUGAGAUUUAUCAAUUGUUCAGUGCAAGGGUUAACGUGAGCCCUGAGUUUGUCCGUGUAUAGAUUAAGCAAGCAAAUAUGUGGCAGUGCCUUGUAUUUUGGUCUAACGCCAAAAUGCGAUAGGAGACCAUUUGGAAGACACGGAAAAGAAUGGUGGAACAAUCAAAGCUAUUGGAGGUUGUCUAAAGCUGAAAUCGGGGUCUUCGCUAAUGGGACCUAAAACAUGAUAAAAACCCAGCUGAAUUCUCGGUCGUAGAGUUUUAAUCAAC
rnacentral:misc_RNA from 1 species